GGACAACGAUUGCUUCUAUUUCGGCAUACGAAUAGUGGCAUGCGACCAGGUCAUACAAAUGGUAGAGACUGAUGUGCACUACAUGGAUCUACGUUUUUGCACGGCGAUGGUUCAGUCCAUGCGAGGUAACAAAUAGCGAGUAAAGCCAAAUAUCCAGUCGUUAGCAGCAUUGUUCGACAGUUGGCCUGGGAUAGACUACAAAAUCUCUUCACGCAAAUUGGUUUUGUUUCCUUAUGUAUCCAUGCGGCACUUUAACUUGUUCUCCAUCG